AUACCUAGUCAGGUCAUAAAUUCUGUCACAUGUUUAAUGUAAAAUAAUUGAAACAAGUUUAUUCAUUAUGUAACCAUUCAUAUACCAAAAUGAACUUAACAAAACAUAGAUUCUUAUGACAGUAAAGUUUAUUCAAAAUGACCUCCGUGAUUUUGAAUACAGGCCUUCAAUCUGCACGGCCAGUCGUCUGUCGCAGCACGAACGAGGUCCAUGUCAAUAUCGGCGGCUGCCUUAAUCAAGGAUGUCUUGAGUGACUCCAAAUUGGGAUGAGGCUUUGAGCAUGCCUUUUCCUCCAAGUGUUGCCAUAUCUUGUAAUCUAACGGAUUCAAAUCUGGACUGGAGGAGGGCCAGUCUUCGUGCCGGAUGAAGUCGAUUUCACGCACCGCCAGCCAGUCUUGUGUGCUCUUCGCUCUAUGAGCUGGCGCCGAAUCUUGUUGGAAUACCCAGUGCCUGUUAUUGAACAUGGUAUGAGAAACAGGUUCCACAAGGUUCGUCAGGACUAUAUUUUGAUACACAACUGCAUUCGUUUUUACACCUUUCUCACAAAAAUGUACCUCUGUUAAGCCCCAAUAAGAAACUCCCAACCAUACCAUCAGCGAGGAUGGAAAAUGACCUCGUUGGACACGCGGAAUACGGUUGCUCGCUUCUUCACUACUGUGUGCGUACACCUUAUCAUUUUGUUUGUUGUAGCUCUCUUCUACGGUAAAAAAUUUUUCAUCCGAAAAAAGAAUUUCCCGAUAUUUUUUUCCCGCGUACCGCUUCAACAAAGCGCGGCAUCUCUUCAGUCUCAGGUCCAUUAGACGAGCAUUCAAACGAUGUCCUGUUUUUCUUCGAUAUGCCCGAAGCCCUAAGUCUUCAUUUAACACCCUUUUCACCGUGGUUCUGCUUAACCCCAUCUGAAGAGCCAACAGUUUCUGCUUACGUUUGGGAUUUCUUUGAAUUCGCGCCUUCACAGCUUUUAUCACUGCUGGAGUCCUAACAGACCGAGGGCGACCACUUCUUGACCUGUUAUCUACACUAGAGUCUUCAUUGUAUCGUUUGAUGGUACGAUAAACGAAUCUUUUGGUUAUAUUCAAAAUUUUCAGUGUGUUAAAAAUUUGAAUUGGCGCGUAACCGCAACGAUGCAACGCAAUAACUGCAACACGGUCUUCUUUAAGCGUCCACUCCAUAUUUAAAAAUGAGUAAAAUUCUAAAAGUAUACAUUUUUAUUUUCAUGAACAAUUCGAAAUUCGAAUUCAAUAAACUUUUUUGUGGCCAGCAUUCUAAAAGAAAAGUUUUUACUGUGUGACAAUACUUAUGACCUGACUAGGUAUACUCAGUAUAGAUAUAUAUAUAUAUAUAUAUAUUUUGCGAAAGAAGGAUUACUGAUGACCCGUAUGGCUUUCCAGUUUCACCACGAUAGGUAGGCGAGCAAAGGCUCAACCAGCUCAUCAUACACGUCUCCCUAUGAGCUCAGUUUGUAUUAAUAGUGAUUAUAAUACCUACUUUUCUCCAUAUCUAUUGUACGCCUUUUUAGUAUGUUGAUAACAUACGGAAUGUCAGGUUCGAACGUUGUCAAAAAUUCACAAAAAAUCCAUUAGUCAUUAAAAAUACAUAUUAUUAUGAUGAAGUAACAAUAUUUUACAAAAUUAAAUUAUAAAAAAAAACACUACAAAAUGGACAAACAAAAAAUUCAACCAAAAUAAAAUUGAGAAGUUAAUUUACAUCAGAAUUGUGUGUUCAGUUAAAUUUAUGGUAUGAAACCGUACCAGCGGACAAACAAAGUGUUUAUGAUCGAGGUAAAUAGCCAAUUAAUUAUAUGUGAUGUACAUUUGUCUUAAUUUAAUUUGUAAUGGUUUAAUAAACAACGGAUGCCGAUAUAUUUGUGUAGACUCUGUCUAUUUUUUGACAAGCAUGAGUUUCGAAUUCGAUAUAUAUUUAAAAAUUAAUUAAUUCUAAGCAGUAGGUAUCAAACCAGCCGUGCCCUGGCAAUACUGGUUCUUUUUUUUUUUUAAAUGAACAUCGUUAACCAUUAAGUCGAUGGUGUAUGCCUUCAAAGGUAACAAAAUCGAUUUCUGAUUAAAAUUGUACUGUGUGUUGUUUUCAAUGCAAACAAACAUUAAAAUAUUAAAUCACGCAUGCAUAAAUCGAUGUAGGCAACACUGAAAAGCUUGUCUAAUUUUGGCUCAGACAUCUUUUAAUCAGUGUGCUUAGUGCGAGUUUUUUAAUUUUACGUUUGUCUUGAGCUAAACGUUUGUCUACGUUUGCGACUAGGGGCGCUGUUCCACCUGCAUACAAAAUUGAGUUAACUUUUACGCCAUUGAGAAGGUUAAAAAACUAGCACUAAGCACACAGUUAAUUCACAAACAAAAUGUGUAUUGUUAGUGUUCAGGCUAGUGCCUGCAAUUCUUUUAUAGCAAUGUCAAAGAUGCUAGCCUUCUAAGGCGCUAAGCAUCACAGUAUAGUAACUACCUAGUCAGGUCAUAAAUUCUGUCACAUGUUUAAUGUAAAAUAAUUGAAACAAGUUUAUUCAUUAUGUGACCAUUCAUAUACCAAAAUGAACUUAACAAAACAUAGAUUCUUAUGACACUAAAGUUUAUUCAAAAUGACCUCCGUGAUUUUGAAUACAGGCCUUCAAUCUGCACGGCCAGUCGUCUGUCGCAGCACGAACGAGGUCCAUGUCAAUAUCGGCGGCUGCCUUAAUCAAGGAUGUCUUGAGUGACUCCAAAUUGGGAUGAGGCUUUGAGCAUGCCUUUUCCUCCAAGUGUUGCCAUAUCUUGUAAUCUAACGGAUUCAAAUCUGGACUGGAGGAGGGCCAGUCUUCGUGCCGGAUGAAGUCGAUUUCACGCACCGCCAGCCAGUCUUGUGUGCUCUUCGCUCUAUGAGCUGGCGCCGAAUCUUGUUGGAAUACCCAGUGCCUGUUAUUGAACAUGGUAUGAGAAACAGGUUCCACAAGGUUCGUCAGGACUAUAUUUUGAUACACAACUGCAUUCGUUUUUACACCUUUCUCACAAAAAUGUACCUCUGUUAAGCCCCAAUAAGAAACUCCCAACCAUACCAUCAGCGAGGAUGGAAAAUGACCUCGUUGGACACGCGGAAUACGGUUGCUCGCUUCUUCACUACUGUGUGCGUACACCUUAUCAUUUUGUUUGUUGUAGCUCUCUUCUACGGUAAAAAAUUUUUCAUCCGAAAAAAGAAUUUCCCGAUAUUUUUUUCCCGCGUACCGCUUCAACAAAGCGCGGCAUCUCUUCAGUCUCAGGUCCAUUAGACGAGCAUUCAAACGAUGUCCUGUUUUUCUUCGAUAUGCCCGAAGCCCUAAGUCUUCAUUUAACACCCUUUUCACCGUGGUUCUGCUUAACCCCAUCUGAAGAGCCAACAGUUUCUGCUUACGUUUGGGAUUUCUUUGAAUUCGCGCCUUCACAGCUUUUAUCACUGCUGGAGUCCUAACAGACCGAGGGCGACCACUUCUUGACCUGUUAUCUACACUAGAGUCUUCAUUGUAUCGUUUGAUGGUACGAUAAACGAAUCUUUUGGUUAUAUUCAAAAUUUUCAGUGUGUUAAAAAUUUGAAUUGGCGCGUAACCGCAACGAUGCAACGCAAUAACUGCAACACGGUCUUCUUUAAGCGUCCACUCCAUAUUUAAAAAUGAGUAAAAUUCUAAAAGUAUACAUUUUUAUUUUCAUGAACAAUUCGAAAUUCGAAUUCAAUAAACUUUUUUGUGGCCAGCAUUCUAAAAGAAAAGUUUUUACUGUGUGACAAUACUUAUGACCUGACUAGGUAUACUCAGUAUAGAUAUAUAUAUAUAUAUAUAUAUAUUUUGCGAAAGAAGGAUUACUGAUGACCCGUAUGGCUUUCCAGUUUCACCACGAUAGGUAGGCGAGCAAAGGCUCAACCAGCUCAUCAUACACGUCUCCCUAUGAGCUCAGUUUGUAUUAAUAGUGAUUAUAAUACCUACUUUUCUCCAUAUCUAUUGUACGCCUUUUUAGUAUGUUGAUAACAUACGGAAUGUCAGGUUCGAACGUUGUCAAAAAUUCACAAAAAAUCCAUUAGUCAUUAAAAAUACAUAUUAUUAUGAUGAAGUAACAAUAUUUUACAAAAUUAAAUUAUAAAAAAAAACACUACAAAAUGGACAAACAAAAAAUUCAACCAAAAUAAAAUUGAGAAGUUAAUUUACAUCAGAAUUGUGUGUUCAGUUAAAUUUAUGGUAUGAAACCGUACCAGCGGACAAACAAAGUGUUUAUGAUCGAGGCCUUCAAUCUGCGCGGCCAGUCGUCUAUCGCAGCACGAACGAGGUCCAUGUCAAUAUCGGCGGCUGCCUUAAUCAAGGAUGUCUUGAGUGACUCCAAAUUGGGAUGAGGCUUUGAGCACGCCUUUUCCUCCAAGUGUCGCCAUAUCUUGUAAUCUAACGGAUUCAAAUCUGGACUAGAGGAGGGCCAGUGUUCGUGCCGGAUGAAGUCGAUUUCACGCGCCACCAGCCAGUCUUGUGUGCUCUUCGCUCUAUGAGCUGGCGCCGAAUCUUGUUGGAAUACCCAGUGCCUGUUAUUGAACAUGGUAUGAGAAACAGGUUCCACAAGGUUCGUCAGGACUGUAUUUUGAUACACAACUGCAUUCGUUUUUACAGCUUUCUCACAAAAAUGUACCUCUGUUAAGCUCCAAUAAGAAACUCCCAACCAUACCAUGAGCGAGGAUGGAAAAUGACCUCGUUGGACACGCGGAAUACGGUUGCUCGCUUCUUCACUACUGUGUGCGUACACCUGUGGAUUCGAACACCGCUGUAUCGCUAGAUACGAAUGCACCGGACGUCUUAUCCUUUAGGCCACGACGACUUCAGUGCAGAAGUCGGUUCGGUUGGUCAAUUCGGAGUUUAUAUGUGGUCCCAUUUAAAUUUUAUCAAAAUCUGACUAGUACUUCUCAAGUAAUUCUUAACAAUCCAUGUUUAACUGACUUAAAUUAAAUUGAUGAUAUUCUUAAUUUCUUUGUUACAAGCUGGUUUUCGUUUUUGUUAAAAUUGUAUAUUAUUAUCGGCUUUAAAUAAAUAAAAAAGGAGGAAGUCGGAGCUUAAGACUUUUCUGGUGAA